UCUUUUCUUUCCCCCUACACAGCGCCUCUGCUUCGUGACCAAAAUGCUUCAGACUCCCAGCCCCAACCAUAUACCCACUCCUUUCGCGAGCCUGGGGGAUCUGUGUCGGACCCGUGGGCAGCUUACGGACCAGUGGGCUGCCCCGUCCGCCCCAAAUUCCAGGGCCGGGUGAACGGUGGGAGCAGCCACCUUUGUAGACACCGCUCCCAGGUUGUAAAUGGGCUGCCAGGGCUUCCUCCCCUCCGCACAUUGCCAGGCUGUCUGGAGAGAGAGCUAGGGAGGAGCCCUCCCGCCGCAGCCUGGACCCCGACAAGAGGCGCAAACGGCAGGUAAGGGAGCCAGACAUCACUGCUGCAAAUCGUGGUCCUGAUCACAGGAAAGGAUGGUGAAGGGGAGGGAGAUGAGCCCGCUGUGGGCUCGGCUCGGACUCACACAGGUCAAAGCACACCACAAAACACAUGCACCGAGUGCACAUCUCGGAAACAUCUCCUGCACGAGCGCCCGCUUGGACUUAGGAUCAUCUCGGAAUCAGACGCCAACGCAGCAGCACAGCCUCUGUGAGCUACAGAGAUGCUGACAGGGAAGCUACAGAGAAGCAAACCGGACCGCUGGCCUAACGCUGGAGUUGGCAGAGGGCACAGCCGGGCGGCUCCGGUUCCGCCGGGUGUUUACUCUCCCAGAUCCAGGCCCGCCCUCCCAUUCUGUUCUGUUGUGCUGGGCUGGGCUCUGCAAACUCCGUUUCCUGUAUCCCCUGCUGGCUGGCUGGGCUCCGAGAAGAAGCAAUGAAUGGGACCUGAAAAAUUCUUUGUGAAGUCAAAGCCAUUCUCUAGUGGCAUCUGCUUAAUUGAAAGCAAGUGAAGAAAUCUGAGCGAUGGCUGAUUCUCCACUAGAUGGCAGUCAUUGGGUAACUCCGAGUGGGGCUCUGGGACACCAGCAGCCAGCAAUGAGAUCACAAGUAGGCAGAGAGGCAGGCAGAGAGAGA